rnacentral:tRNA from 1 species
GCUGACGUAGCUCAGACGGUAGAGCGCAUCCUUGGUAAGGAUGAGGUCGGCAGUUCAAGUCUGCUCGUCAGCUCCA